GUAAAUAAUAGCAUUCAAGGUAUAUAUAUGUAUUGGCGAAUAUGUUAUAUCUUAUGUAUACAUAUAUGUAUAUAUAUUUAUACAUGUUUAAUAAUUAUUCUAUAUUUUGUUUAAGAAAAGCUGUUGUAUGUUUCUAUUUGUUACAAUAUAAAAAAUAAUUUCUGUUAACUCGUCUAGGGGUAUAUAUAUUUAUGCUCAUUUUUAACAUAACUAUGAUAACACAGCGAGUGACUGGAAAAAACGAAAGCAAUAAAAAAAAAAUGAAAAAAAUGAAAAACAAUGAAAAUAAUGAAAACAAUGAAGACAAUUAAAAAAUGAAAGUUCAUGACUUCUAAAACAAAGUAAGCAUAUUAAAGUGUAAGGAAACAUUUUUUUACUUGUAUGAUGGUAAAAACCUUAGAAAAACCUUAUUGCUUUGACUCAAUAAAAUGUGUUUAUCAAUGCAUAACACACAAAAAGAAAAAAAAAAUAUGUAAAUGUAGAUAAAAAAAUGUUUAUCAUGAACAUUGGUAUUAGUAUUAUAAUGUAACAGUUGUCUAAUAGCAGUAAAAUAUCUUAAAAAUAAAUUUAUAGCGAAAGAAUAUAUAUAUAUAUAUAUAUCGAUAUAUAAUGUAAAUUGAUGCUCACAUUUCACUCAGUCUUAAUAUAUUUCCAUUUCGUUUAAGAAUGAAAAAAUAGGCGCAUAAAUAUGCAGAAAGAUGAAAAAAAAAAAAAAAAUUAUUAAUUUAUAAUAAAACUGGAAACUAAAGACAUAAUA